rnacentral:lncRNA from 1 species
AGUUGUCACAUUGGCACUCAUGUCACAUCUUCCUUUUAUAUCUAAGACAGCAACCAUUGUAAACAUUGAAUAGAUAAAGACAAGUUAAUUGAUUAAGAUUAUUCUUUAUUCAUAACAGAUCACUACAUUUGUGUAGAUUAUAGAUUGCAUAAGACCUUCAGUUCUUUAAGUUUUGCCAUUCUUCAGUUACAGAAGUCCAUCGAAUAUUGUAAUAAAAUCUGACAUCAUAUCUUCAACAUAUGUAGAUUUUUCCAAUAUUUAAAAUAAAAAUAUUAUUCAAUGUGAAAAGGGGUUGAUCUUAGUUCAUCCAAUUAUUAAUUGAACCAAGGAUUUGUAUAGUUUUCUUAUUAAAAACAAUUGGCCAGAAUAAUAUUAUAAGUCCUCUCAAAAAUGUGUUAAAAACAAACAUCCUUUCUAUUUAAAGAAACCACAUUUGUUUUUUACUGAAACUAAUAAUCAAAUAUGUCAAUUUUUUCCUUUUAAAGUAUACUACAUAUAUUUUAACUUCAUUAUUUUAGUUAACAGUAUAUAUCAAAAUUAUUUAAGAAAAAAAUAAAAAACAAUAUCAAUUUAAA